rnacentral:lncRNA from 1 species
AAGUCGACAUAUUCUGCUGCUCUAUAAUAACAACAUCAUCUACCGAGAAUAGAGAUUGAUAACGAGAAGGGCGUGAAAUAUUCGAGUUACGAGUAAAACGCAUAGUCCUUGAACGCAAAUUGCAGUAGUCACAAGUGAAUCGAAAACCGUGUUUUUUCUUUAUUUAUACAACGACUUUGUGUCAGGAAAUUUGGACUGUGAAUGAUAUCCAAAGCGCAAGAAUCGUAGAACAAUUUGGUACAAAAAACAUGACUGGAUUAAAGGAAUUGGCACAAGCACGAACUUGUUUGAUUUAUGACCGUAUAUUGAGAAAAAAAAAGUCGACAAACACGCAUUUUUAAUUAUAACAAGCCCUUAUAUUUACCCAUGGCUGUUGUUUUUGUUGACAAACAGCAAACACCCUUUGUAAAUACCCUCAAUUUAGUCAUUAAACUACUUUUCGGUUAAGUUCAUGUUUUACAUCAUAAUUACUUUCAAUACUGAGUUUACAUUUUAUUCUGUACUCAUAAUACUUGUGUUGCAUACAAUUGUACCAAUAAAUUUUAUUGAUUUUAUGGGGACUAAAAAC